GACGAACCGUGCGAACGUUGUUCGGAAUCACUGGGCUUAAAGGGCGCGUAAGCGGGCCCGCAAGUCAGGGGUGAAAUCCCACGGCUCAACCGUGGAAGUGCCUUUGAUACUGCGGGUCUCGAGGGAGGUAGGGGCGUGCGGAACUUCCGGUGGAGCGGUGAAAUGCGUAGAUAUCGGAAGGAACACCGGUGGCGAAAGCGGCGCGCUGGACCUCUUCUGACGCUGAGGCGCGAAAGCCAGGGGAGCAAACGGG
rnacentral:rRNA from 1 species